CCUACGGGUGGCAGCAGUGAGGAAUAUUGGUCAAUGGGCGGAAGCCUGAACCAGCCAAGUAGCGUGCAGGAUGACGGCCCUACGGGUUGUAAACUGCUUUUAUACGGGAAUAACAUGCCUUACGUGUAAUGCUUUGCAUGUACCGUAUGAAUAAGGACCGGCUAAUUCCGUGCCAGCAGCCGCGGUAAUACGGAAGGUCCGGGCGUUAUCCGGAUUUAUUGGGUUUAAAGGGAGCGUAGGCCGCAUGUUAAGCGUGCUGUGAAAUGCCCGGGCUCAACCAGGGCAUUGCAGGGCAUACUGGCGUGCUUGAGUGCGCGGAAAGCAGGCGGGAUUCGUGGUGUAGCGGUGAAAUGCUUAGAUAUGACGAAGAACCCCGAUUGCGAAGGCAGCUUGCGGCAGCGGUACUGACGCUGAUGCUCGAAGGCGCGGGUAUCGAACAGGAUUAGAUACCCUUGUAGUC
rnacentral:rRNA from 1 species